AAGAACUUGGCGGUUCCACAAAACCAUCCAGAGGCUCUUGGCGCUUAAACCGAUGAUCCGCGUGAUAUCUUACCCGCUCUAUAUGGUAAUGUACUGCCGUCGAAAGCUUAUGAUGUGAGUGUAUAAAAAUAGGCUUCAUCUUAGGCAUAGAUUAGAUCUAUGUGCUAAGACUAGGCCAGGUCGAAGUGUUCUUUAUGAGUGAGGGGUUAGCUGAGAGACAAUUUUUAAGAUAUAACAAGCUUUAAAAUGAAAUUUUUAUAGUGAGGCGGAUUUGGGAGUAAA
rnacentral:rRNA from 1 species